rnacentral:tRNA from 1 species
GGGGUUGUGGCUUAGUGGUAGAGCGCCUAGGACAGGUGAGGCCCUGGGUUCUAUCCUCAGCACCACA